AAAAUAAAUUAAAACCGCAGCGCGAGGGAGGGAGGAAGGGAGGGAGCGCGCGAGUAUUGUGGAAAUGCCACUCCCGGCGUUCCUGGCGGCGGCGGCGAAGCUCGCCGUCCUGGUGGCGGCCGCCGCGACGGCGGCCAACGCGGCCUCCUUCGCGCGGUACCGGCGCCGCCACCUCCGCCGCAUCCCGAACCCCAUCGACGAGUCCGCCGACCCCGUCGCCGACUUCCGCGCCCUCCCCUCCGCUGGCGCCGGCGACGACUCAGAAGACGGCAGUUUCUUCUUUGGGCUGGCGACCGCGCCUGCGCAUGUUGAGGACAGGCUGGAGGAUGCUUGGCUUCAGUUUGCAAUCGAGCAUUCCUGCGACGACAAGGAGGCCAUGCGUGACCAAAUGACAGCAGACGCGGUGAUGGCGUCGGCUGCCGGUGAUGGAGGUGCUCAGUUGGCUUCCAGGUCUAGAGGGGAGGAAAAGGCUGGUGAAGGAGAGAGGAGGAAGCCUCUUAAGGUUGCCAUGGAGGCUAUGCUCAGGGGUUUUGAAAUGUUUGCUGAGGGUGGUGAAUCUGGUUCUGGUGAUAACUGCAGCCACAACGUCGCAGCUUGGCACAAUGUUCCUUGCCCGCAAGAAAGGCUUAAAUUUUGGUCUGAUCCUGAUACUGAAUUGAAACUUGCCAAGGAAACUGGGAUCAGUGUUUUCCGCAUGGGGAUUGACUGGACAAGGGUAAUGCCUAAGGAACCAACUGAUGAAGAGUUCAAGAGCUCAGUCAAUUUUGCAGCACUUGAGCGUUAUAGGUGGAUCAUCCAAAAGGUUCAUGAAUAUGGAAUGAAAGUGAUGCUUACACUAUUUCAUCACUCACUUCCACCUUGGGCUGGAGAAUAUGGGGGAUGGAAGAUGGAAAAAACUGUCAAGUACUUCAUGGAUUUUGUGAGGCUUGUCGUUGAUUGUGUAUCAGAUUUAGUGGAUUACUGGGUGGUUUUCAAUGAGCCUCAUGUGUUUGUGAUGCUGACCUAUUGUGCUGGUGCUUGGCCUGGUGGAGACCCUAAUGCAAUUGAAAUGGCAACAUCUGCUUUGCCAACUGGCGUAUACAAUCAAGCGUUGCAUUGGAUGGCCAUUGCACAUGCAGAAGCCUAUGAUUACAUACAUUUGGAGAGUAAAAAUAAAAGGAAGCCAAUUGUUGGUGUCGCUCAUCAUGUAUCAUUUACACGGCCGUAUGGACUAUUUGAUGUUGCGGCUGUCACACUAGCUAAUUCAUUGACCCUUUUCCCUUACAUUGAUAGCAUAUGUGAUAAAUUGGACUUUAUUGGCAUCAACUACUAUGGGCAGGAGGUGAUAUCGGGUCCUGGUCUAAAACUUGUGGACAAUGAUGAGUACAGCGAAUCUGGUCGUGGUGUUUAUCCUGAUGGGCUAUUCCGUGUCCUGAUUCAGUUUAAUGAACGAUACAAGAGCUUAAAUAUACCUUUUAUGAUCACUGAAAAUGGAGUUUCUGAUGAGACUGAUCUGAUUCGUAAACCAUACAUUCUGGAGCACCUGUUAGCCAUCUAUGCUGCAAUCAUAAUGGGUGUGCGUGUGCUUGGUUAUCUAUUCUGGACAACAUCCGAUAAUUGGGAAUGGGCUGAUGGGUAUGGUCCCAAGUUUGGGCUUGUUGCUGUUGAUCGUGCCAACAAUCUAGCACGGAAGCCUCGUCCUUCAUACUAUUUAUUCACCAAGGUUGUUACAACUGGGAAAAUAACAAGACAGGACAGAGCGUGUGCUUGGAGGGAACUGCAACAAGCUGCAUUUCAAAAGAAAACACGCCCGUUUUUUAGGGCAGUAGAUAAGUAUGGUCGGAUGUAUGCAGGGGGUCUAGAUCGGCCUAUUCAAAGACCUUUCAUAUUACGGGAUUGGCGAUUUGGUCAUUAUGAAAUGGAAGGCUUGCAGGAUCCUUUGAGUUGCUUUAUAAGAUCCAUUUUUUCACCAAUUUCACACAAGAAGAAGAUUCAUUACAUUGAGGAUGAUGAUGUUUCUUAUUCUAUCUCCUGAUAAUGCAUGUCACUAUAGUUGGUAAGUAGGAUAAUUUGUCCUCUAGGUAAAUAAAAUCUGGGAAUCAGAAGUCUCUUUUUGGAUGGAUUACCAUGUGUACUAUUUAUAAUAGCAGAACUUCUUCUAAGUCUGUGCAUGUCUUCUUUGAUAGAACUAGUUCACUAACUUAUCUAUGUAUGCUACACUACGUGGUACAUACAAUUAAAUUUGGUAUGUCGGUACCCUGAUCUCCAGUGAGCAAGAAUGGAUCAUGCGUUCCCCUUUCUCUUGCAGGACCCAGGGAUCCCCACAACUCUGUGGGUUUGUCUGUUGUUCAUCAUCAUAUUAUUCAUCCUGUCAAAAUCGCAUCUUGAUCGCGAUGGAGCGUGCGAAUCUUGGAGAAAACCACACUCCUUCCAACAGGCAACAGUCAGAGGAGUUUAGCACUGGGCACAUCUGAAGCCGGUGAUAGGUAUCAUGAUACUGCUAGAGCACAGCUAACAUAUUAAUUCCUCGGCUUGGAUUACAGCUAUCUGUGGCGACGCAAGAUUAUUGUUAGCUUGGCAUAUAUGAUUAAUGCAAGCGAUUGGAGAGCAGUCAGGCAGCAUGGAAGGAUCAGGACGCCAUCAGCCCCAUGAUGUAUACUUAUUCGUUUGGGAGAUGUCCAAUCACCAUGGCAUGUUUGCAAGGGACAGUCCUGUUGCAAAUCCCAGUCCAAUCAAUGGCUAUCCAUGUGUAUAAGAUGAAUGAAAGCCAUGGACUUGGAUGUCGUUAUGUGGAGAUGAUGUUUGUGCAGCUGCAAACUUAACUGAAGCCAUCUCCUAAGUUGGUGCCAUGUCAUUUUCUAUUGUCUGGGCAUAGAACUGCAUUGGCUGUCGUUGCCUCAUGUAUUGCGAGGAAAAAGACCUGAUAAUCCUGUAUUUUUGCGCGUAAUACAGUGUGUACUUAUGAUGCAUCAGGAUGAUUGAAGUGUGACUGUGUAAGUAGCAACUAUACAGAAACAAUGCUGUGUCAGAAAGGGGGAGGCAAACUGUCAGUAGAAGAAAUAAAGAGAUUUUAAGUUGCUGGCUUGA